rnacentral:rRNA from 1 species
AAGAAGGAGUUAGCAUAAUUUGUUUGUAGUUUAAUUUGAGUUGGUAAACCAAUUUUAUAGGGCAUGUUUUAGUAGUGGGUAAGGAAAAAAUAGAAUAAGCAAUAGGGUAGUACUGUGAAGGAAGAUUGAAAUAGUUGAAAAGUAUGUUUGAAGGAAGUAGACGAAGUGUUGUACCUUUUGUAUCAGGGUUUAACAAGUGAUAAGGAGGAAUCUGUAAUCUCGAUGUGAGGAGGGCUAUAAAGUUAGAAUAGUUUAGGUGGCAAACUAAUUAUACAUAGGUUUAUAGGAAUGACAUAUUAAACGAUCCUCAGGGUAUCUAGUUUCUUGAGAAAUGAAUUUAAUUCAGGGGCUUGGAGAAUUUGGAGACUUUGUCUUUAAGUUUAGAUGGGCUUUAAUGUUCUGGGGGAUAAGCUCCAGGGUAUUGUUAAAACUUAAGUGCUAAGAAAGGUAGUAGGCUUGAGAGUAGCCAUCUUUUGAAGGGUGUUAUAAUUUAUUUUCUAGGGGUUUAAUUUUAAAAAGUUUAAGGGAUGCAUCAAGAAAUAAUCUUGAAUGACAGAAGAUUAGUUAUAAUGUUAAAAUGAGUAUAGAGUGUGGAAAAAUGAGAAGUCCCGAGAAGGAACUCGGCAAAUAUAACGCUCGCCUGUUUAUCAAAAACAUCGCCUUUUGAGAAAAUAGAAGGUCUGGCCUGCCCACUGAGAAGUUAAAGGGCCGCGGUAUAUUGACCGUGCAAAGGUAGCAUAAUCAUUAGUCUUCUAAUUAAAGGCUGGUAUGAAUGGUUGGACGAGGUGUUAGCUGUCUCCUUGGGACAAACUAAAAUUUAACUUUUUAGUCAAAAGGCUAAAAUAUGAUUGGAGGACGAGAAGACCCUAUAGAUCUUUAUAUUUAAAUUGUUAAACCAUUUUAGAGGGGGUUAGGUUUGACAUGUCAAGUAUUUUGUUGGGGUGACAGGAAGAUAAUCAAAACUAUUUUAUGUAGUGGACAUUGAUUUAUGAAUAAAUGAUCCGUGAUAGCGAUUAAAAGACUAAGUUACCUUAGGGAUAACAGCGUAAUCUUUUUUGAGAGUUCUAAUCGACAAAAGGGGUUGCGACCUCGAUGUUGGACUAAGGGUUAUUCUUGGGUGUAGAAGUUCAAGGUUUAGGUCUGUUCGACCUUUGAAUCCUUACAUGAUCUGAGUUCAGACCGGCGUAAGCCAGGUUGGUUUCUAUCCUCAAUUUUCAAUAACAUCUUAGUACGAAAGGACCAGAUAUUAGGGGUAUCCUUUAAGAAUUGAAUACCAAUA